UGGGGUGUAGCCAAGCGGCAAGGCAAGGGACUUUGGCUCCCUCAUCGGAGGUUCGAAUCCUUCCACCCCAGCCA
rnacentral:tRNA from 1 species